UAUUCUCCACGAUGCCCCUACUAUAACUCUGAGCCGAGUCUAACCCACUAAAUUUUAGAGUCUAUAAUCUUGUAUUUAUUAUGCUACUCUACCUUAUUACACGCAACCGGUUAACACUGGGAGGCUAAACAAUAAUCAAAUUUGUAAUUACAUCAUCUCUCGUUUCACUGUCUCACUUCGCUUUCUUUCUUUUUUUUUGUAAAAAACUUCGCUUUCUUCUUCCCUCUUCCAAAUUUCAGAAUGGAAGGUUUUGAAUAAAAAUCUUGAAUCUCUUUCUUAUUAUCUCUCUCAGAUAAUGAAUCUUUACGGCUUACUUCUUCUGUUUCCAUUCUCUCCGGGCUAAAUGAGUCCUCUCCUCACUCUCACUCUCUGCUUCAUCUCUUUACUCCUCCUCUUCGGCACCAACUCCGUAACCGAGAGUAUUAAGUAGACUGAGUUACUAUGAGAUUUAGGAAAUGAAGUAUAGUUGACGUGUUUAGCUUAUGUGUGGUGCCUUAUUCAAGAAGGUGGUGACUUUCAUCUGCUAGCUUAAUAUGCAUUUUUUUUAAAUGGUUCACUCUUGAGCUUUGAUGUAACGGUGAUUAUUCUAAAGUUAUGUAUAAGUUAACAAAAUGAUGUAUCUGACUAUUGUACAUUUGAUAUGAAAUAACUAUAAAAUA